GGCGUGGGGAGAGAGAAGAAGAGGGGACGGAGGAAGAGUCCACCUCGUCCUCCCCUAGAACUCCGAAACAGUUGGCGAGUGGCCCCUCGAAGGUGGUUACUACAGGAGUAGGAGGGACCUUCUUAGCUUUUAUUGCAGUUUCGCCUGUUGACCACGGGCUCUUUGAGUUUGGCAGUAGAAGUACUGGCUGAUCACGAGACCAGCCGGACUGGACUGCCUUUGCGUUUAACCGACCAGGGACCGGGGUCAUAACUGUCGGGUAGACAGUCUUUCGAGGCUUCUGAAAUGAGCAGCCAUUUCGGGCUUUGUACUCUUGGAUGGUGCUUUCUUGGAACCAAGUGUUGGCCGUGGCAAUUGUGAACGAAAGAAAGGACUAGCCUUUCAUACUUUUUCAGGAUGCCCGGUCUUGCCACGACGAGUACACACUCCUGCGUGUCGGCAUCACGACUGGCUACGGCCAAACUUCUGGCCCUUGAAGCAGCGCAGAGCGUUUUGCACUCAGGGUUGCAUGUCCAGGACCAAGUAUGCUGCCCGAACAGUGGCUGGUGGGCAGCAUGAAUCGAAAGUCAAAACAAUUGUGUUCCUUUCAAGGGCGGUCUCGCCCCGCCGAAGAGUCAUCUGGCGGGCUUCGACCACACCCUCACAAUAUAGCCACAAUUUUUUCUGAAGAGCAGCCUUUCAUCUCAUGACUGCGCACGACGCUCUUCAAGCAGUUGUACUUCUUGUGUCUCCAAGAUUCACAGGAAUACCAUGGAAGGUCGUGAGAUACAGGGGUCCAGUUAUUUCUGUUUCGUAUACAAGGAGUGCACCAGAAGACAGUUUUUGGUCGAUGGCGGGGAUGUAUCCCAGUGUCUGUGUUAAAGCAUCUCCUGUCAUGAAAAGGGUUGGAUUUGUGAUCUUCUUCUGUGCAUCAAAAUUGCGGAUGGUCAAGUACGGCUGCCCCGGAAGCUCCCUGGGAGGAGGGAGAGCACAAUCAGCCGUAAAGGUCGGUUUUCCUGGUUGUCUGCUCGGCUCGGUGGCUACACCCGCUUCUACGAGCCGAAACUUUUUUGUAUCGUUGGGGACUGGGGAUGGGUCAGAAUGUUUUUGGGGAUUCAAUGUGUGUUGGAAUGCUUUUCAACUCCGGGGCUCCCCUCCCACCACUGAGUGAAACAGAGGAAACAUUGCUCGGAUGACCAGAGCUGAGCCAGAGCUACUCCGGAGUUAUACUCUCCACGAAAGUGUACUAGAUCGUCCCAUCAAGAUUGACCCAAGGAAAAACUGGAGGGGCUUCAGCUCCAAAUCGAUUGAGUGGCAUAGGCCGCCCCACCCUCCCGUCUAAGAGGAAAAAGUGGGUCAAAGAGGUGUGUUGGCGAGGGACAGUCCGCAGACUGAUCUCACUUCAACUGCCAGUUACCCGGUUUCCACAGGUCGCACCCCACGGUCAACGAGGCGCCCAUUCUGUGGGAUGGACGACCUCUAGUUUUGCUGCACACGGGGUAAGCGGUGGAAGAAAUGAUAGAAGAAGGGGAAGGAGAAAGAAGGAUGGAGAAAAGGAAAAUGCACCAAAGAAGAUGUUGCUCAUGGAUCCCAGGGACAGCGAGUCUAUUUAUAUAUCCCCAACCCA
rnacentral:lncRNA from 1 species